rnacentral:rRNA from 1 species
GAUGAACGCUGGCGGCGUGCCUAAUACAUGCAAGUCGAGCGAACGGACGAGAAGCUUGCUGCUCUGAUGUUUGCGGCGGACGGGUGAGUAACACGUGGAUAACCUACCUAUAAGACUGGGAUAACCUCGGAAAACCGGAGCUAAUACGGGAUAAGAUUUUGAACCGCAGGGGUCAAAAGUGAAAGACGGUCUUGCGGGCUGGUCUAGAGGCAUACGCGCUGCAUGAGCUAGUUGGUGAGGUAACGGCUUAUCAAGGGUACGAUGCAUAGCCGACGUGAGAGGGUGAUCGGCCGCACUGGAACUGAGCCAGGCACCAGGCGACUAAGAUAGGCAGCAGUAGCGAAUGUGCCGCAAUAGGCGAGAACCUGACGGAGCAACCCGGAGUGAGUGAUGAAAGUCCUCGGAGCGUAAAACCCUGCUAUUAGGGAAGAACCUAUGUGGAAGGAACUGUGGCCAGCUUGACGGUACCUAAUCAGAAAGCCACGGCUAACUACGUG